rnacentral:rRNA from 1 species
UGCGUAGGUGGUUUAAUAAGUUAACUGUGAAAGCCCUGGGCUUAACCUGGGAAAGCCAGUUAAUACUGUUGAGCUAGAGUAUGGGAGAGGGUAGUGGAAUUUCCGGUGUAGCGGUGAAAUGCGUAGAGAUCGGAAGGAACACCAGUGGCGAAGGCGGCUACCUGGCCUGUUACUGACACUGAAGCACGAAAGCGUGGGGAGCAAACA